rnacentral:rRNA from 1 species
UCGAGAAUCUUCGGCAAUGAGCGCAAGCUUGACCGAGCGACGCCGCGUGCGGGAUGAAGGCUUUCGGGUUGUAAACCGCUGUCAGUGGGGAGGAAAUUCUUGGGGGAACUCCCCCUUGAUUGACCGAUCCGCAGAGGAAGGACGGGCUAAGUUCGUGCCAGCAGCCGCGGUAAGACGAACCGUCCGAACGUUAUUCGGAAUCACUGGGCUUAAAGAGUGCGUAGGCGGCUUAUCAGGCGGGGUGUGAAAUCCCUCGGCCCAACCGAGGAAUUGCGCUCCGAACCGAUAGGCUUGAGGAGGAUAGAGGUAAGCGGAACAGAUGGUGGAGCGGUGAAAUGCGUUGAUAUCAUCUGGAACACCUGUGGCGAAAGCGGCUUACUGGGUCCUUUCUGACGCUGAGGCACGAAAGCCAGGGUAGCGAACG